UACAGAGGUCCCGAGCGUUGUUCGGAUUCAUUGGGCGUAAAGGGUGCGUAGGCGGUUUUUUAAGUUUGAUGUGAAAUCCCGGGGCUUAACCCUGGAAUUGCAUUGAAUACUGAAGAACUAGAGUACUGGAGAGGAAACUGGAAUUUACGGUGUAGCAGUGAAAUGCGUAGAGAUCGGAAGGAACACCUGUGGCGAAAGCGGCUCACUGGACCAUUACUGACGCUGAGGCACGAAAGCUAGGGGAGCAAACAGG
rnacentral:rRNA from 1 species